GUCAAACAAUUCUUGGGGGAGAUUUUAACGACAUCUGGUCAUUAAUUGAUACAAAAAAUAAAACUAAAUCCUCUAAAAAAUUUGAUAAACCAGUAACAGGUUUAAAAGGGCUUAUAAAAUCAUGUAAAUUGAUAGACAUUUGGAGAAGUAGAAAUAAAAAUCUAAGGCAAUUCACGUGGUGUAGAAAAGAUAGAUCAGAAGCCACCAGAAUUGAUUACUUUCUGAUUUCAAAAGAAGUACAAAAAAAUUGUAAAAGCUGCGAUAUUAGACCUUUAGUACAGAAAAUAACUGACCAUAAUGCAGUAUCUUUGAAAAUUAAUACUGAAAGAGGAAAUAAGGGGCGUGGCUACUGGAAAUUAAACUCCAGUGUUUUAAAUAAUGAUGACUAUGUAAAUGAAAUAAACAAAUUAAUAAACAGAUAUGAAAACGAAUCAAUUAACUGUGAUGAUUUAGGGAUACUAUGGGACAAUUUGAAAAUAGAGGUAAGAGAUGCAAGUUUAGACUAUUGUAAAAGAAAAGCCAAAUUUAAAAAAGAUAAAAUAAAUAUCCUAGAAAAACAACUAAAUGAUCUCAAUAAUAAAGCAAAUAAUGGUACAGAUGUAAAUCAUAAUAUUACAAAAAGAAAUUGAGAAUUUGGAAAAUGAUCUAGAUUGUUUAUAUAAAGACAAAAUUAAAGGACAAAAAAUAAGAUCAAGGGUAAAGUGGUUCGAAGAAGGGGG
rnacentral:lncRNA from 1 species